rfam:Sphingobacterium sp. 21, complete genome.
GGGGUCGACCGGAAUUGACAGGAUGGAGACGGUUAUGUAAGCAUGCAGUGCGUUGUUAGUCUAGCACUAUAAUCUGAACUUUCAACCUUAUAAAUGGCGAAAAUAACUACGCCUUAGCUGCCUAAUUUAGAAUUAGCAUAGCUUUUGUUCCGUUGCAGUCUGCUUCGUGCUGUAACAUCAGGAGCAUCGAUCAACGAAGCUAGCUGACUUAGCGGCACGAUGAGUUGGCGAAAUUAAGUGCCUACGGAAACUGGUAUAGGUAAGCGACCGACCUUCCACUUCCCGACAAUUAAACGGAAGCUAAGCAUGUAGAAAGCAUAUACAGUACCAUGUUUGGACGAGGGUUCGAAUCCCUCCGGCUCCACAA